rnacentral:rRNA from 1 species
AUACGUGCAACAGAGCGUCACCGAGAUGCCACAGUCACAUAAAUCACAACAAAAAGCAAAAAAAAGCUUUCUUCAGUAUAGGUUUCUUUGGAAGUAAAAGUCGUAACAAGGUUUACUCAUAGCUGAACAUGAGGAAGGAUCAUUAUUGAAAUUUUAUUAAUGAGGAGUUGAGUUGUUGCUGGCCUUUCUACCUUAAUUUGGCGGGAGGCAUGUGCACACCUUCUCUUUCAUCCAUUCACACCCCUGUGCACUUGUGAGACAGCAAUGGUGGUGGAUUUAAUUCCACCCAUUUGCUGUCUACUUAAUCUACACACACUCUAUUUAAUUUAAACUGAAUGUAAUUGAUGUAACGCAUCUAAUACUAAGUUUCAACAACGGAUCUCUUGGCUCUCGCAUCGAUGAAGAACGCAGCGAAAUGCGAUAAGUAAUGUGAAUUGCAGAAUUCAGUGAAUCAUCGAAUCUUUGAACGCACCUUGCGCUCCUUGGUAUUCCUUGGAGCAUGCCUGUUUGAGUAUCAUGAAAUCUUCAAAGUAAACCUUUUGUUAAUUCAAUUGGUCUUUUUACUUUGGUUUUGGAGGAUAUUAUUGCAGCUUCACACCUGCUCCUCUUUGUGCAUUAGCUGGAUCUCAGUGUUAUGCUUGGUUCCACUCGGCGUGAUAAGUUAUCUAUAGCUGAGGACACCCGUAAAAAAGGUGGCCAAGGUAAAUCCAGAUGAACGCGCUUCUAAUAGUCCAUUUACUUGGACAGUAUUAUAUUUUAUGAUCUGAUCUCAAAUCUAGGUAGAUGUGCACGUACCAGUCUUUGAACUUAAGCAUAUCAAUAAGCGGAGGAAGGGUAAGGGAGAGAGUUGUAAUGUGUGCAUAUUCAUAGACAAUUUUCUCUUGCUAUCUUAAUCUGUUCUCUAUGUCUUUU